UACGAAGGGGGCUAGCGUUGCUCGGAAUCACUGGGCGUAAAGGGCGCGUAGGCGGCGUUUUAAGUCGGGGGUGAAAGCCUGUGGCUCAACCACAGAAUGGCCUCGAUACUGGGACGCUUGAGUAUGGUAGAGGUUGGUGGAACUGCGAGUGUAGAGGUGAAAUUCGUAGAUAUUCGCAAGAACACCGGUGGCGAAGGCGGCCAACUGG
rnacentral:rRNA from 1 species